rnacentral:rRNA from 1 species
CCUACGGGGGGCAGCAGUGGGGAAUAUUCACAAUGGGCGCAAGCCUGAUGCAGCCAUGCCGCGUGUGUGAAGAAGGCCUUCGGGUUGUAAAGCACUUUCAGCGGGGAGGAAGGCGGUGAGGUUAAUAACCUCAUCGAUUGACGUUGCCCGCAUAAGAAGCACCGGCUAACUCCGUGCCAGCAGCCGCGGUAAUACGGAGGGUGCAAGCGUUAAUCGGAAUUACUGGGCGUAAAGCGCACGCAGGCGGUCUGUCAAGUCGGAUGUGAAAUCCCCGGGCUCAACCUGGGAACUGCAUUCGAAACUGGCAGGCUAGAGUCUUGUAGAGGGGGGUAGAAUUCCAGGUGUAGCGGUGAAAUGCGUAGAGAUCUGGAGGAAUACCGGUGGCGAAGGCGGCCCCCUGGACAAAGACUGACGCUCAGGUGCGAAAGCGUGGGGAGCAAACAGGAUUAGAUACCCGUGUAGUC